UAGUAACUAUUCCCAGUGGAAUAAACUCAUCACUCAAUAUCAUUUAAUAUUUUUUUCUUAGGUUUUCUUUCAGAAGCUUUAGCAAGAGAGAUAUCUGUUCUACCCUGGAAACAUACCAUGAUCCCAGCACAGACCUGCAUGCAGCGUUCUGUGUCAAACCAAGCAUUGUUCAGAAGAACUUGUUUCGUUGUGUCAACACACAUGCUGGGGCACAGAUAGACAAGUGGAAAAUCGAAGAGGAAGGUUUUGAAGAGAGAAGAGGCAUCAUCUGGGUCGCCCAAGAUCUCAAGAUACUGGUGAUGGAAGUGAGUUUUGUGGAAUUCCAACCACCAAAAGAAAAAAAA
ensembl:lncRNA